rnacentral:rRNA from 1 species
CUCUAAAGCUAAACUGGGUUGGGCUUGGUUCGUACUUGGAUGGGAGACCACUUGGAAUACCAGGUGCUGUAGUAU